rnacentral:lncRNA from 1 species
CUCUCAUCGCGACUUACUGUAUUCGAUUGUCUUUCGCCUCUCGGUUAGUGAAUCAUACUCUUAUUCAUUCGUGAUUGUACGUGCCUUAAUCUUUUGUUCGUUGCGAUUGUAUGUGCACCGGUUCUUGAUUUGUUUAUGAUCAUAUGUACUGUUCGUUCACUCAUUGUCUAAUAUAAUUGUUAUGCAUUGAAUAACACGUAAUCGAACAUUUAUAUGUUAGAACUGGCAUGCAUGUUAAUCGACAUAGUCCAGGUAGCGAAGGGGGUUACAGACACGGGUUAUGAUUGAAAUCAUGAGCAUAAUGAUUAUUAUGUUGAUUAUGUUAAUUGUUUGAUGUUUCCAGCACGAUUCAUAAUCAAUGAUCUGUAUAGUUAGGAAUAUAUGUGUGCAUGUGGUCGGUUUACUGUUAUCGAGAAUCACAUGAUUUCUAUAUGUGUCAGAUUAUUAUUAUUAUAUGUAUAUAUACAUGAGAUAGGAGACAUGGUAGUGGUUAAUGAAAUAGGUUAGUGUGAAUGCAUGUGUGAACAUAAUAACUUCUGGAAAACAACAGAUGAAUUAAUAAACAAAUGGUAUCCAAUUAAAUUAACAGUAAGGUUUUGAGAGCAUAUACAUUAUACAUGCAUAUCUGGUAAUUUUGAUGAUGAUGAGCCGAUCACUUUUUGUUGAGUAGUUGGAGGUUAUGAUAGUUGGGCCACUUGUAUACUAAGUUGGGUUAUAGGGUGCAUGGGUAUCACACUUAAAGAAGGGCCGCACAUCUAGUGUGGGCUGCUUCUUAACGGGCCAGCCAUUACACUCGAGUCGCUCACACACCACAUGAGAUCAUGCAUUCUUUUGGGGCUUGGGGUAUAUGGGUUACUGAUACGUAUUGGGCCGCACCUUCUAAAAAUCAUUCGUAGGUUACUGGCCCAUGAAUGAGUAUGGAUCGCACAAAGGGAACCGGGUCGUGUAACUUAUUGGGCAGAAUUAGGUGGGUCGUGUCUUGAUAUAAUAACUAUAUCAAACAGUUAGUAAAACCUUAAUAUGUGAUUAACCUUAUGAUAUAUUAUAUCAUGAUGGCAAUUGAAAUUGUGAAACCAUGAAUGGAAUGACUACAGUUAUCAUGAGAGUAUGGGCAUAGUAUGAAUUUGUGAUGUGAAACGUAUAUAUACAUAUAACAUGAGUGCUCGCUAUGACUAGUGUGAUACUACGUACCAAGCUUGUUCCUAUUUGCAUAAUAAAGAUAUGUGAUUUAUAUAUAUAAGUAACUAACUGGUACUGAAACCCUAUUAGGAUUGGAUUGUUCAACUGGUAAACAAAGUACUUAAUCUUACCGAGCAAACCAAGGUGAGUUCAUUGCAUUUCUCUAGCAUGCGUCCCGGUGGUUUGGGACAACUGGUAAACAUUUGGAAGGGAAACCUUGGGUAAACAACUUAAUCGGUUUUGGUUAUUGAACAUGGAAUCUAUCAUCGGAUUGCCUGGAGGGCAAUGGGGGUGAUUAGUUGAUAGCGCUAUUAGGUGGGAAACCUCACACCGGGCCGUAAGGACGGGCGUGAACUAAUUAUCUGGGUAGGGCUAUGGUUGUUAGAGGCACACUCCUCGGAUACAUAUGGGCACACUCCCUAGGGUAUCUAACGAAGGCAACAUAGCAAUCGGUCCUAAGGGGUACCCACUCCCCGGAUACACAUGGGCACACUCCCUAGGGUAUCUAACAUGAGCAACAUCGUCGUUAACGUUUGGAACAUGGACUUGCUAUCUGGGAGUGCUGGAGUGGUCAUGGAUCGAGACUCUUGGAUUCACUUAUAA